rnacentral:lncRNA from 1 species
UUUGGAUGGCUUCGUCUGGAGGAAGCCAGGGGUCUUGCCAUGAAGGACAUUCAAGCAGUUCUGAGGAGAGGCCCAAGUGAAGAGGAACCAGUUGCCAGCACCACCCUGUCAGCUAUGUUAGGCCCCUGCCUAUAUAAACAAUUUGAUUAAAAACAUAUUUAAAAAUUCAUCAGUACAUGUGAGAUAUGAUGAUUUAUCAUUGAAGAUUUAGGAUGAUGAGCAGAGAAAGGCAAUCUGUUUUGUCUAUUGUCCAAUCAGUGCAUGUGAAGAUUCGUUACAGUAUCCAGUUAACACUGAAUCACUAAGGCUUUAUCCAGGAAUAGUACUCAAAGUGCUCAGAUGUUCCUUUAAAUUCAUUUACCUGGGUAACUGCUGAAAGAGAGGCGACUACUGCUGGUGUCUUUAUCUAUGAUGUUGAAGUCCCAGUGUUUAUAUAUCCUGAGCAUGGCUGCAUACGUGUACCAGCUUGAGUGAGCAAAAAGGAUGUUCUCAAAUCCAGGAAGAACCUACAGCCAGAAUCAUAGUGGAUUACACAGAUGUACAUAGCUAACUGACUGCAAUUGUCUUAAGUGUAAGAGGCAUACAGGGAUUGUGCCAUUUCAGGGUUAUGAUUCUUCUUUCACAGCUUCUUCUGUGCUGUAUCUAGAACAAAAGCAUACGUGUGAUAGUGACCUAACUGUGAUACGAGACCUAAACAUGUCAAGGAGAGACUAUCCAAAUGCAUUUUGUGUAAAACCACAAUGUUUCACAAAGUCAAUAAAGGUA